CCCGAUAUUAAAAGCAUCAAAACCACCCCAUUUUUGGAAAGGAAUCAAGAGACAUUUUGAUUCCAUCAUUAAAAAAGUCAAGGCGGGAAACAGGAAGUCCAGUGCAGACCAUCAUAAUCUACAGGUUUUAAAGUUCUCCUCUCUGAUGUUCACCAAGAGAAGGCAUGGAUGGAGUGGACAAGAAAAAAGGACAAUGGUGUGGCAUCUCAGGAAGAGGGUUUCUUAAAUUCUACAGGCCAUUGCAGAUCCUCAGAUGAAUGAGGAGUUUGAGAAACAA